AUAAAAAGUGGAUGCUAGGAACAAUUUACCUUAUUUGGGCGCCUGGUAGAUUGGGAGCGAGUGGCGCAACCGUCCUUAAUUUUU
rnacentral:ncRNA from 1 species